rnacentral:lncRNA from 1 species
CUUCUGUCACUUAAGUUUGCCUCAACCAAAUGUUAUGAAACUUGUACACAAUACUUAUUACCACAAAACUCAGAUCAAGUACAAAAUUGGGUAAUGUCACUUUAACUGUUCUUCAGUUAUGUUCCUUUAUAACUAUAUGAUAUGUAAGAGCAGGCAUCAUCUGUCUCAUGGACACAUUCACCAUUUAUUUUUCUCUAACUUAAGUUUGCCUCAACCAAAAAUUAUGAAAUUUAUACACAAUGCUUAUUACCACA